rnacentral:rRNA from 1 species
AUUUACAACAAGCCACCUUGAGAGUCCCAAUCUCACCUGAUCUCUGAAAACUAAGGGGUUGGACCUGAGUAGUACUUGGAUGGGAGACCUGUGGGAAUACCAGACAUUGUGUGCU